ACAUUUUAGCUUGCUUGUUGCUGGGGAAAAGACUUGCUGCUUUGUGUUUCAUUUGAUGAAGAUGGAGUUUCACUCUCGUCGCCCAGGCUGGAGUACAAUGGCGCGAUCUUGGCUCACUGCAACCUCCACCUCCCCAGUUCAAGUGAUUCUCCUACCUCAGCCUCCCAAGUAGCUGGGAUUACAGCUUCCAUAAGUCAGGAUUCCAGUCACAGCUUAGCUGGAUCCUCUCAGAAGGCUACGAUCAAGGUGUCAGCCAGACUGAGUUCUCAUCAGAGGCUCGACUAGGAGAGGAUCUGCUUCCAAGUUCCCUCAGGUUGUUGGAAGGAUUCAUUUUCUUGUGGCUAAGCUCACAGGAGCUUUCUUCUUCAAGGGCAUCAGGAGAGUGGAGAGCGAGUCUACUCAAAGACUUCUAUACAAAUCAUAAGGUAAUCACAUGAGGGACAUACCAUCAUCUUUGCCAUAUUCUGUUGGUUACAAACAAGUCACCAGUUCCACCUGCACUCAAGGGGAGGAGAUUAUACAGGGUGAACAUGGGGGCCAUCCUAGAAUUCUGCCCACUUUACAGUUGAAACAGUAUUUUUUAAAAUGCCAAUGAAAUCCAAGAUAGACAGUUUAUCUUGGAUAAACUUUUAGCACCUUUUGAUUAACAUACCUGUUGGACUUUACAACUGUAAGAUUAGUAAGCACAAGAUUCCCCAGUAUUUCAAGGAUUUAAAGGGAACAUGGUAAAAAGGUACUCUUUGCUAUGCAAAAUCUAGCCAUCUAGCAUUGCUGUGGCCCUGGCCAGUUUGCAGCUCUGGCCAAAAGAGGGCUGCUGAGUCCAGCCCUGUCCACAGUGUAUACGGGCACACCUGACUACAUCAUGCACAGCAAUCCUGUUUGUGGCACCACUGAUGAAUUACCCCUAUUCAAGUGAACAGGCAUUGAGACCCUAAGGGGACCACAGGGUCUGGUUCAUUCACCACAAACACAGUCUUCCUUGAAUGUUAGCAAUGAGUUUAGUCAUCUCAUUAGGAGACUUGAACAGAAGUGAAGGUAAACACUAUUCAUGUCAGAAAAAAAUAUAACGUGGUAGGUAGUAAGAUAUGUAAACAAAGGACUACAGUUCUCUGCCUUUUGAAAGCAUACCUGUGCU
rnacentral:lncRNA from 1 species